rnacentral:tRNA from 1 species
GCGCCCUUAGCUCAGCUGGAUAGAGCAUCAGAUUUCUAAUCUGCAGGUCGAGGGUUCGAAUCCCCCAGGGCGUGCCA